CUGAAAUCUCCCGCCCAGUCGGGAACCGAAGGG
rnacentral:sRNA from 1 species